rnacentral:misc_RNA from 1 species
UGCUCUACUCCUUACUCAUAACAGAGUACUAAUCAGCUUGAACCAUGAGAGAUAAAGGUAUGGAUGAGAAUAUCACAAAGUUCCACAAUCAUGCUGAAAAUGGCAUGUGCCAAUUCUCAAGAUUGAGAACAAACACGUGGUAAGCAUAUUUUACGUCUAGACAAUUUCAAGUUAGGCGAAUUAUUUUUCCUUGAACCAUUCCAUAUACUUCUCAGAAGUUGACAGGUUAUAACAAGCACAAAAAGAAUUCUUAAGUACCAUCUGAUACUGGCAAGUAGGAAUACUAUUAUUCUUGGAAAAGCAAAUACCUUUAAUUCAUCCACUCCUCUGG